rnacentral:rRNA from 1 species
CCCUUCGAUACUCUGGGCGGCACGCGCGCUACAAUGAGCCUUGUGAUGUGUUACAAUCUCGAAGAGGGAAUGUGAAGCAUUAGAGAGGUGUCGUGAAUGGGAUAGUCAUCUGCAAUUACUAGACUUGAAAGAGGAAUCCCUUGUAAACACGUUAAAGAACAACGUGUUGAAUACGUCCCUGUGAAUGUACACACCGCCCGUCGUUUCUUCCGACUGAUACUCAAUGUGAAUUACGGGGAGCGUCUCGAACCGUCGUAAAUGUUGUGUAUUGGAGGAAGAAAAAGUCGUAACA